CGAGUCUUAACUGGGCGAAUAAGUUGCAGGGUAUAGACCCGAAACCCGGUGAUCUAGCCAUGGGCAGGUUGAAGGUUGGGUAACACUAACUGGAGGACCGAACCGACUAAUGUUGAAAAAUUAGCGGAUGACUUGUGGCUGGGGGUGAAAGGCCAAUCAAACCGGGAGAUAGCUGGUUCUCCCCGAAAGCUAUUUAGGUAGCGCCUCGUGAACUCAUCUUCGGGGGUAGAGCACUGUUUCGACUAGGGGGUCAUCCCGACUUACCAACUCGAUGCAAACUACGAAUACCGAAGAAUGUUAUCACGGGAGACACACGGCGGGUGCUAACGUUCGUCGUGAAGAGGGAAACAACCCAGACCGCCAGCUAAGGUCCCAAAGUCAUAGUUAAGUGGGAAACGAAGUGGGAAGGCUCAGACAGCCAGGAUGUUGGCUUAGAAGCAGCCAUCAUUUAAAGAAAGCGUAAUAGCUCACUGGUCGAGUCGGCCUGCGCGGAAGAUGUAACGGGGCUAAACUAUGCACCGAAGCUGCGGCAGCGAUAUGUAAAUAUUGUUGGGUAGGGGAGCGUUCUGUAAGCCUGUGAAGGUGUGCUGUGAGGCAUGCUGGAGGUAUCAGAAGUGCGAAUGCUGACAUAAGUAACGAUAAUGCGGGUGAAAAACCCGCACGCCGGAAGACCAAGGGUUCCUGUCCAACGUUAAUCGGGGCAGGGUGAGUCGACCCCUAAGGCGAGGCAGAAAUGCGUAGUCGAUGGGAAACGGGUUAAUAUUCCCGUACUGGUGAUAAUUGCGAUGGGGGGACGGAGAAGGCUAGGCUAUCCGGG
rnacentral:rRNA from 1 species